rnacentral:lncRNA from 1 species
UUUGCUUGUCAUCAUCACUCAUCGGUUAGGCUGUUUACUUAAUGUAUUUGUUGUCCAAUUUGCUCCAUCAUAUUUCCUGAUGUACUUCUACAUAUAUAUGUUGGUUGUAAUCUGCUUGAACGAUCCAAGUACUUGAUAUUCCAUUCUGUUCUUGUAGGUGAAUGGAGCUUGUGUUGUUGGUAGAACUCCGUUGAUGACUUCUUCCUAUGUUGAAGAGCAUGUUCCGUGGUAUCCAAGAGUAGAUAGCUUUACACUGGCAGAGCGUUUUAUUUGUCGAUCGCCUUGUUUGUGACUGUGUGGAAUAUUGUAUGGUUAUCUACGUGAAUUUUGAAGUUCCUCGGCAUGCAAUAUUUGAAGGUUAAACUGGUUAUUGUGAUGUGAACCAGUCUAUGGAGUUUCGCAUGUUUUGUUCUGUACAGAAUAUAUUGUAAUAAACCUAUUUUGGUUCUUAUUUGAAGAUUUUCAUAUUCUUAUCUUCUUUCUGUUUGAUAUAUACUUCUUAAAAAGCGAUUUUGAUCCACAGCCAGGAAAAAAUCUGACAAUUGGGACCAAUCUAAAAACUGGAGAUGAAAAAAAGCUGGAUAUUAAAAUGAAAUGGACCUCAAAAGGCCAUGCCCUAUAAAAUAAAAAGGCCAAAUUGUUGGGCCAGGCCCAUGUAGCCAGAGAAAAUUAACAGAAAAAUAUACAGUAAAAAGGCUGUAUUAAUGGGCUCGGCCCAUAUAAACACUAAAUUGGAUCUGGCUAAUUCUUAUCCACGUCAGCUUGCAACGCUGGAUCCUAUGUGGCCUGGGGAGGUUGCUAGUGACCAAAAAUUUGGUCGAAGAACCAACGACCUUUUACAUAUCACAUAGAAGGUUGUUAAUUUCAGUUUACGACCGCCAGCUUUUGACCAUCUGUUUUUUGUCACAAAAGGGUCGCAAAUUAAAAACAAUGACCUUUCAGUGACCAAUAGUGAUGGUCGCAAGCUGACAUAUUUCUUGUAGUAUCAUGAUCCAGCAGAGGGAGAGCUUCGUCAGCACGACGGUGUGAUGAUGGUGAUGAUGAUGCUACCGGAAUAGGGGUUCGCCUAAGCACCGCUACGAUAUGACCGAGGUGGAUUAUAGUGGAGGGGGCACCGUACAUGGCUAAGAGAUCAAUGAUCAACUUGUGUGUCUAUGGGGUGCCCCCUGGCCACGUAUAUAAGGUAAAUGUUCGUACCCAGUCGACAGGCCGAAAUUCUGCCGGUCGCAUCCAACGCGCUGUCCUGGCUUGUGGUCCCAUGCGAUUAGUUUACUCCUUUAGCCUUAUCUCUUCUAGGAUGCAUCCUCCUCCACUCGUUUUCUCUCCAGCCGCAUCAGCUUCUAUCUCUUCAUCAUCUCCAAACCGGCUCCCAUGCUACCAAGGCCUUCUCCCAUGCUACCAUGAACACCAAGAGCCUAGAAGCGGCAAUACACCGAGCUGCAUCGGGCCUAUUGGAUACUAACCAGCGAUGGACACUUGCUGUAACCAAUCACGGUGAUGCCACGACAGGACGGCGGCGACGAGGUUUUUGCUGCAAUUGUCGGACGGACAUUGACGAUUGCUACAACCAUUCAUGGCGACGCCGAGACCCGCGGCGAUUUUUGCUCCAGCCGGUGUCGAUUUUUGCUACUACCGCCAUUGACGAUUGCUACAACCAUUCACAAGGACACUGACGGCGGCGACACUUUGCUUCAACCAAUGUCGUUUUUUUCUAAUACCGGUUUUGAUAAUUGCUACAACUGUUCAUGAGGACACCGACAGAGGCGAUAACAACGACAGCCUUUUUGCUGCAACUAGUGUCGAUUUUUGCUACUACCGGUCUUGAUGAUUGCAACAACCGCUCAAGAAGACACUGACAGUGGCAACGGCAUUUUGCUGUAAUGACGGCCGUUUGGAGUGGCGCGGCAAGCCGUAGUGCUGCAAGAAGCCGGUGACGGGGAUGUGCACUAUAGUUUUUAGUGCGGCGUGGAGCAGGGGGCAACAAGCUGGAGGGGCGCGAGGCAUUUUGCUGCAACGGCGACCUUUGGAGUGACGAGGCGAGCCGUGGUGCUGCAAGCAGCCGGCAAAGGGGAUGUGCGCCGUAGUUGCUACGAGCGCAUGAGCACCGAGGGGCAGCGAGUUGGACAGGUGUGAGAGGAUUUUUGUUGUUGUUUGGUGGUCGUAGGAAGAAGAGAUAGAGGAUGGGGGUUGCGUGGCUGGAGGUUGAAGACGAGAUCCAAUGGUUAUUAUUGGGGCAAAUCAUGCGGUGGGCAAUGGACCUGCCGAACCUGGCAUCGGUCGACAGGCGCCUAUAAGCGCCCAAUAAUAUAUCUCUGUUGCAAGCGGUCGCACAACCCAAAGGUCUCCCCCUGCCGCACCACCGUCCCCGUGCUACAGCCAAGCCCCCAAAUGCUGAAGCAACCGACGGGGCACCGGUGCUUCCAUGGCUGGUCGGAGACGCCAUGCUACAAUGUUAUUGAAAUUUUGGUUGAACCAGGCAGAGCUGAAGUUGGAUCCAAUAGUUUGUUUUGCUGCAACCGGCUGUUGACUAAGCUAGAAUCAUCUACUAAUUUUGCUACAAUCGGCCGAAGUCGAGAGCUGGAACCCGUGUCUGGAUUUGCUGGAAACACUCAGAAAAAAGCUGGAACCAGUAGUUAUUUUUGCUGCAACCAUUUGUUGGUUCUGUGGUGAUGACAUGCCGAGAACCGAUUUUUGUUGCAACCGGCAACCCACAAAGCUUCAACCAGCAAGUGUUUUUGCUACUACGGCGAAGAGUGGAAGCUGCGACCAUGAGACAAUUGCGCCGCCAGCGACAUGCACCUGGCAGCGAGCUACACCUGGCAGCAGCGAUGACCAUUUUGUUUUUGCUGCAACCAUGUAUCAUUUUUGCUAUGGCCGGUAAUGAAAUUUGGUGCCAUGACCAUGACCAUGUGUUUAUGACCUGUGAAGCGAGCUACAACCGGCGGUGACGGGGGUGUUGUUUUUUCCUACAACCAUGUACUGUAGAAGCUACAACCAUGUCUUAUAGAAGCUACAACCAUGACGAGAUGAAAUAGUGGAAAGCUGGGAGCCUGGGACCGGGGACAAUCAGCUGUUGCUGCGACGAGCGGUGACGCGAGAGAAGAAGUGGGUGCUUCCACGUCCCGCCGGAGCGCACACACACGGUGGCUGGGCCAGAGACGUCCCGCGUCAAGGGAAUAUUGAGAGGCAGGAGGAGAGGAUAGUUUUUCCAGCUCGCGUUGACCAGAUAGAACAAAGCAGAAGGAAGGAGACGCCCACGUAGAGAGAAUCAGACGGUUAAAAAAUAAGCGCAUCUGACGACUAGCUGCGGACCGGCCAAAAGUUUGGGCCAGUCCGCCGGCGCCUAAUACUGGCCCGUAUAUGAAAGAUCGAGGGAGGAGGAGGCCAUCCCUCAUAGGGCGCGUCCAAAGAGUGGAAUCCUAUGAGGACUCCCUAGUCCUAGUAGGAUUCUUCCUCCUACUUGGAAUAGGAAAAAGGGAAGGGAGAAGGAGAAGGAAUGAAGGGGGUGCCCCUUUCCCUAGUCCAAUUCGGACCAGUCCAUGGGGAAGGGCGCGGCCACCCUUGAGGCCUUUCUCUCCUUUCCCGUAUGGCCCAUUAAGGCCCAAUACGAAUUCCGGCCCGUAACUCUCCGGUACACGAAAAAUACCCGAAUCACACGGAACCUUUCCAAUUUCCGAAUAUAGCCUUCCAAUAUAUCGAUAUUUACAUCUCGACCAUUUCGAGACUCCACGUAAUGUCCCCGAUCUCAUCUGGGACUCCGAACAAACUUCGGUCAUCAAAUCACAUAACUCAUAAUACAAAUCGUCACAGAAUGUUAAUCAUGCGGAUCCUACUGGUUCGAGAACUAUGUAGACAUGACCGAGACACACCUCCGGUCAAUAACCAAUAGCAGAACCUGGAUGCCCAUAUUGGCUCCUACAUAUUAUACGAAGAUAUUUAUCGGUCAAACCCAUAACAACAUACAUUGUUACCUUUGUCAUCGCUAUGUUACCCCCAAGUCUGUUUACUCAUUCUGUAAUGCAUCAUCCCGCAACUAACUCAUUAGUCACAAUGCUUGCAAGGCUUAGAGUGAUGUGCAUUACCGAGAGGGCCCAGAGAUACCUCUCAGAUACACGGAGUGACAAAUCCUAAUCUCGAUCUAUGCCAACUCGACAAACACCAUCAGAGACACCUGUAGAGCAUCUUUAUAAUCACCCAGUAACAUUGUGAUGUUUGAUAGCACACUAAGUGUUCCUCCGGUAUUCGGGAGUUGCACAAUCUCAUAGUCAUAGGAACAUGUAUAAGUCAUGAAGAAAGCAAUAGCAAUAAACUAAACGAUCAUAGUGCUAAGUUAACGGAUGGGUCUAGUCCAUCACAUAUAUCUAUAAUGAUGUGAUCCUGUUCAUCAAAUGACAACACAUGUCCAUGAAACUUAACCAUCUUUGAUUAACGAGCUAGUCAAGUAUAGGCAUGCUAGGGACACUUUGUUUGUCUAUGUAUUUACACAUGUAAUAAGUUUCCGGUUAAUACAAUUCUAGAAUGAAUAAUAAAAAUUUAUCAUGAUAUAAGGAAAUAUAAAUAACAACUUUAUUAUUGCCUCUAGGGCAUAUUUCCUUCAGUCCCCCACUUGCACUAGAGUCAAUAAUCUAGUUCACAUCGUCAUGUCAUUUAACACCAAUAGUUCACAUCUUUAUGUGAUUAGUUCAGAUCUCCAUGUGACUAACACCUAAAGGGUUCACUAGAGUCAAUAAUCUAGUUCACAUCGCUAUGUGAUUAGCACCCAAAGAGUGAUCAUGUUUUGCUUGUGAGAGAAAUUUAGUCAACGGGUGUGCCACAUUUAGAGCCAUAUGUAUUUUGCAAAUUUUCUAUGUCUACAAUGCUUUGCACAGAGAUACUCUAGCUAAUUGCUCCCACUUUCAAUAUGUAUCUACAUCGAUACUUAGAGUCAUCUAGAUCGGUGUCAAAGCUUGCAUCGACGUAACUCUUUAUGGCGAACUCUUUGUCACCUCCAUAACCGAGAAACAUUUCCUUAUUCGACUAAGGAUAUUUUUGACCGAUGUCCAGUGAUCUACUCAUGGAUCACUAUUGUACCCUCUUGCCAAACUUAUGGUGAGGUACACAAUAGGUCUGUUACACAGCAUAGCAUACUUUAUAGAACCUAUGACUAAGGCAUAGGGAAUGACUUUUCAUUCUCUUUCUAUUUUCUGCCGUGGUCGGGUUUUGAGUCUUUACUCAACUUCACACCUUACAACAUAGGUAAGAACUCCUUCUUUGAAUUUUCCAUUUUGAACUACUUAAAAAUCUUGUCAAGGUAUGUACUCAUUGAAAAUAUAUCAAGCGUCUUGAUCUAUCUCUAUAGAUCUUGAUGCUCAAUAUGUAAGUAGCUUCAUUGAGGUCUUUCAUUGAAAAACUCUUUUCAAACGCUCCUUUAUGCUUUCUAGAAAAUUCUACAUUAUUUCCGAUCAACAAUACGUCAUUCACAUAUACUUAUCAGAAAUGUUGUAGUGCUCCCACUCACUUUCUUGUAAAUACAGGCUUCACCGCAAGUUUGUAUGAAACCAUAUGCUUUGAUAACUUUAUCAAAUGAUUCGGAUAGACUUAGGCAUCGCUGCGAGUGAGAAAAUCUCAUCAUAGUCAACAUCUUGAACUUGUCAAAAACUUUUUGUAACAAUUUGAGCUUUGUAGAUAGUAAUACUACUAUCAGUGUCCGUCUUCCUCUUGAAAAUCCAUUUAUUCUUAAUGGCUCAGCCAUCAACGGGCAAGUCAAUCAAAGUCCAUACUUUGUUCUAAUACAUGGAUCUCAUCUCAAUUUCGCAGAAUCUGGGAUCAUCAUCACUUCCUCAUAGUUCGUAGGUUCGUCAUGGUCAAGUAACAUGACCUCCAAAACAGGAUUACCGUACCACUCUGGUGCGGAACGUAUUCUCGUUGACCUACGAGGUUCGGUAGUAACUUGAUCUGAAGUUUCAUGAUCAUCAUCAUUAACUUCCUCACUAAUUGGUGUAGGAAUCGCUAGAACUCAUUUCUGUGACGAACUACUUUCCAAUUCGGGAGAAGCUACAAUUACCUCAUCAAGUUUUACAUUCCUCCCAAUCACAUCUUUCGAGAGAAACUUCUUCUCUAGAAAGGAUCCAUUCUUAGCAACGAAUAUCUUGCCUUUGGAUCUGUGAUAGAAGGUGUACCCAAUAGUUUCCUUUGGGUAUCCUAUGAAGACGCAUUUCUCCGAUUUGGGUUCGAGCUUAUCAGGUUGAAACUUUUUCACAUAAGCAUCAUAGCCCCAAACUUUAAAAACGACAGCUUAGGUUUCUUGCUAAACCACAAUUCAUAUGGUGUCGUCUCAACAGAUUUAGAUGGUGCCCUAUUUAACAUGAAUGCAACUGUCUCUAAUGCAUAACCCCAAAACGAUAGUGAUAAAUCGGUAAGAGACAUCAUAGAUUGCACCAUAUCAAAUAAAGUACGGUUAUGGCGUUCGGGCACACCAUUAUGCUGUGAUGUUCCAGGUGGCGUGAGUUGCGAAACUAUUCCACAUUGUUUCAAAUGAAGACCAAACUCGUAACUCAAAUAUUCUCCUCCACGAUCAGAUCACAGAAACUUUAUUUUCUUGUUACGAUGAUUUUCCACUUCACUCUGAAAUUCUUUGAACUUUUCAAAUGUUUCAGACUUAUGUUUCAUCAAGUAGAUAUACCCAUAUCUGCUCAAAUCAUGAGUGAAUAUUAGAAAAUAACGAUACCUGCCGCGAGCCUCAACACUCAUCGGAUUGCAUACAUCAGUAUGUAUUAUUUCCAAUAAGUCAGUUGCUUGCUCCAUUGUUCCGGAGAAUGGAGUUUUAGUCAUCCUUCCCACGAGGCAUGGUUCGCAAGCAUCAAAUGAUUCAUAAUCAAGUGAUUCCAAAAGCCCAUCAGCAUGGAGUUUCUUCAUGCGCUUUACACCAAUAUGACCUAAAUGGCAGUGCCACAUAUAAGUUGCACUAUCAUUAUUAACUCUGCAUCUUUUGGCUUCAAUAUUAUGAAUACGUGUAUUACUAUGAUCAAGAUUCAAUAAACCAUUAGCCUUGGGUGUAUGACCUCGGAAGGUUUUAUUCAUGUAAACAGAAUAACAAUUAUCCUUGACUUAAAUGAAUAACCGUAUUGCAAUAAACAUGAUCCAAUCAUAUUAUGCUCUAUGCAAACACCAAAUAACAUUUAUUUUAGGCUCAAUACUAAUCCCGAAGGUAAAGGGAGUGUGCGAUGGUGAUCUUAUCAACCUUGGAAUCACUUCCAACUCACAUCAUCACCUCGCCCUUAACUAGUCUCUGUUUAUUUUGCAACUCUUGUUUCGAGUUACUACUCUUAUCAACCGAACCAGUAUCAAAUACUGAGGGGUGGCUAUAAACACUAGUAAAGUACACAUCAGUAACAUGUAUAUCAAAUAUACCCUUGUUCACUUUGCCAUCCUUCUUAUCCCCUAGGUAUCUAGGGCAGUUCCACUUCCAGUGACCAUUUUCUUUGUAGUAAAAGCACUCAAUUUCAGGCUUGGGUCUAGCUUUGGGCUUCUUCAUGGGAGUGGCAAAUUUCUUGCCAUUCUUCUUGAAGUUCCCUUUCUUUCCCUUGCCCUUUUACUUGAAAUUAGUGGUCUUGUCAACCAUCAACAUUUGAUGCUUUUCUUGAUUUCUACCUUCGUCGAUUUCAGCAUCACGAAGAGCUCGGGAAUCAUUUUCGUCAUCCCUUGCAUAUUAUAGUUCAUCACAAAGUUCUAGUAACUUGGUGAUAGUGACUAGAGAACUGUGGCAAUCACUAUUUUAUCUGGAAUAUUAACUCCCAAUUGAUUUAAGUGAUUGUAGUACACAAACAAUUUGAGUAUGUGCUCACUGGUUGAGAUAUUCUCCUCCAUCUUGUAGGCAAAGUACUUGUCAGAGGUCUCAUACCACUCGACUCGGGCAUGAGUCCGAAAUACCAAUUUCAGCUCUUAGAACAUCUUAUAUGCUCUGUGGUGUUCAAAACAUUUUUAAAGUCCCGGUUCUAAGCCGUAAAGCAUGGCGCACUAAACUAUCAAGUAGUUAUCAUACCAAGCUUGCCAAACAUUUAUAACGUCUGCAUCUGCUCCUGCAAUAGGUCAGUCACCUAGCGGUGCAUCAAGGGCAUAAUUCUUUUGUGCAGAAAUGAAGAUAAUCCUCAGAUCAUGGACCCAGUCCGCAUCGUUGCUACUAUCAUAUUUCAACAUAGUUUUUUUCUAGGAACGUAUCAAAAAUAAACGGGGAGCUACAUCGCGAGCUACUGAUCUACAGCAUAGUUAUGCAAAUACUAUCAGGACUAAGUUCAUGAUAAAUUAAAGUUCAAUUAAUCAUAUUACAUAAGAACUCCCACUUAGAUAGGCAUCCCUCUAGUCAUGUAAAUGAUCACAUGAUCAAAAUCAACUAAACCAUGUCCGAUCAUCACGUGAGAUGGAGUAGUUUUCAAUGGUGAACAUCACUAUGUUGAUCAUAUCUACUAUAUGAUUCACACUCGGAUUUUUGGUCUCCAGUGUUCCGAGGCCAUAUCUACAUAUUCUAGGCUCAUCAAGUGUAACCCGAGUAUUAUGCAUGUGUAAAACUGGCUUGCACCCGUUGUAUGUGAACGUAGAGCUUAUCGCACCCGAUCAUCACGUGGUGUCUCGGCACGACGAACUAUCGCAACGAUGCAUACUCAGGGAGAACACUUAUACCUUGAAAUUUAGUGAGAGAUCAUCUUAUAAUGCUACCACCGAACUAAGCAAAAUAAGAUACAUAAAGGAUAAACAUCACAUGCAAUCAAAAUAUGUGACAUGAUAUGGCCAUCGUCAUCUUGUGCCUUUGAUCUCCAUCUCCAAAACAAUGUCAUGAUAUCUAUCGUCACCGGCAUGAAACCAUGAUCUCCAUCUUCUUGAUCUCUAUCAACAUGUCCUCACAUGGUCGACUCGCCAACUAUUGCUUUUGCAACUAUUGCUAUCACAUAGCGAUAAAGCAAAGCGAUUAUAUGGCGCUUGCAUCUUAUGCAAUAAAGAGACAACCAUAAGGCUUCUGCCAGUUGCUGAUAACUUUAACAAAACAUGGUCAUCUCAUACAACAAUAUAUAUCUAAUCACGUCUUGACCAUAUCACAUCACAACAUGCCCUGCAAAAACAAGUGAGACAUCCUCUACUUUGUUGUUGCAUGUUUUACGUGGCUGCUAUAGGCUGAGCAAGAACCGUUCUUACCUACGAAUCAAAAACCACAAUGCAGUAUAGUGACUGCCUUUUCAUCUUUAGAAAGAACCCUGUUCUUUGAAACUGAUUCAACUAAAGUUGGGGAAACAUACACCCACUAGCCACCUGUGUGCGAAGCACAUCGAUAGAACCAGUCUAAUAAUUUAUGCUAUUGCUAUCACAUAGCGAUAAAGUAAGCGUGCGUGUAAUGUCGGUCUGAGCCGCUUCAUCUAAUAAUUCCGCUGAAUCAAGAAUCAACUAGUGACGGCAAGCAAUAAUUAUAUACCCACGCCCACAACUCCUUUGUGUUCUACUCGUGCAUAUAACAUCUACGCAUAGACCUGGCUCGGAUGCCACUGUUGGGGAACGCAGUAAUUUCGAAAAUUUCCUACGCACACGCAAGAUCAUGGUGAUGCUUAGCAACGAGAGGGGAAGAGUGUUGUCCACGUACCCUCGUAGACCGUAAGAGGAAGCGUUAUGACAACGCGGUUGAUGUAGUCAUACGUCUUCAUGAUCGACUGAUCCUGGUACCGAAAGUAGGACACCUCUGCGAUCAGCACAUGUUCGGCUCGGUGACGUCCCACGAACUCACGAUCCAACAGAGUGUCGAGGGAGAGCUUCAUCAGCACGACGGUGUGAUGACGGUGAUGAUGAUGCUACCGGAACAGGGCUUCGCCUAAGCACCACUACAAUAUGACCGAGGUGGAUUAUAGUGGAGGGGGUACCGCACACGGCUAAGAGAUCAUUGAUCAACUUGUGUGUCUAUGGGGUGCCCCUGGCCACGUAUAUAAAGGAUGGAGGGAGGAGGAGGACGACCCUCAUAGGGCGCGUCCAAAGUGUGGAGUCCUGCUAGGACUCCCUAGUCCUAGAAGGAUUCCACCUCCUACUUGGAAAAGGAAAAAGGGAAGGGAGAAGGACAAGGAAGGAAGGGGGCGCCCCUUUCCCUAGUCCAAUUCGGACCAGUCCAUGGGGAAGGGGUGCGGCCACCCUUGAGGCCUUUCUUACAAGAUCUCGCAAAUCAUUUCUAACUACUGGAAGAAUUCUAAUAGAGAUAUGGUGGUCGACUAGAAAUUUUGAUUGGUGGAAGACUCCAUAAUAUCACCUCGAGCUUCGUCUUCAUAAUCAUCACUGUCCUCAUCAUCUCUAUCUUCUUUAUCAUCACUAUCGGUGUCGGUGUCAUCUAGUAUGAUGUAGUCUUCAGAACGAAUGUCCACUUCAGGUUCCGGUUUCACCAUAGAUAUUCCUAUCUUCUUCCUCGGGUCUUCAUUCUGCUCUAGUAGCACAACAAUUUCCUCUUCGUACCCAUCACGAGUUGCCUUGAGUUCCUUUUCUAGAUCCAUAUUCCGGGUCAUCACCUUCUUAGUAUCUAUCAUGUUAGCGCACAUAUGAUUCUCAUAUCAACGAAUGUGCUGGUUCAACUCUUGUAUGUAGGCUGCAAUAGAUCCAUCCUUACUAGUGCGAAUCAUCUACCAUUGCUCGUCCCGGCGUCCACAUAUCUAAUAGACGGUGUCCUUAAGAUCCUUGUUGUACACCUCUCCUAUGCGUCCAAUGAUGAUGUGGGUGGCCAUGCUCUUUCCUAAGCACCAAGUUGGUGCAUCAAAAGAAAAUCGACGGGCUCGGUAAUUGGUGCAAAAGUCCUCCCAGGGACACGGACUUGAAUCGUCCAACGCUCCUCUUUGGGUAAAGUUGCAGUGAAGGUUCCAGUGAAGCUUGGUAUGCCAAUGUUUAGGUACCUCAUGACUUCCUUCAAGUGUCGUCCGAAAGGGGUUUCUUCACCCGGCUGAGUGAACUUGUUCCUGGGGUCCGACAUCUAUAGAGUAGAAAUAGAGAAGAAUUAGAAAUGAGUAGAGAAGAGUAUCCUAUGGCUUUUCCUAGUGGUCGUGCCCUACAGUCAGCAUGUGCUCUGAUACCAUCUUGUAGCAACCUGAUCCCAAUGGAUCGAAGUCUCUGUACUUAAGUGUCAUCCCUGGAUUGGUAUGCUGUCACACACAGUACUCAAGGAAUUAUAACAGAGUUCAAUCACACACUUAUUACAUCGAGGUCCUCAUAAAGAGUGAUUAUUACAAUAAUAUGGCCAAAGGCCAUCUAAUAAAAUAACUACGGAAGCUUUGAAGAUAAAUGAGUCCAUCAACUCCACGGCAAAACUGAGUGCAAGACAACGACAUAUCGCACCUUAAUCCUCGUCUGAAAAUUCGGUAACAUGAGACGUUGCAGUCGUGUAGGUCAGCACAUGGAAUAUGCUCGCAAGAUCACACUAUAGAGUAAUAAUGAAUAAUGACUAUCACUACAUGCAUAUUUGGCUGGUGGAGCCUCUAAGUUUAACAAUUGCAUAAAGCUAUUUUUUUCCUACAACAAAGAAAUAGAUUUCAAUUACUACCAAGUUUAUGUCAUUAUUGAGAAGGUAACCCCAACUCAAUCCCAAAAUAUUCAAGUAAAAAUGGUAAUAAUAAUAACCCAACAAUUUUACUAGGUAAAGUGAUGAGAUCAACCAUUAAAUCAAAUACCAGAUACUCAAUAUGUCCAUAACCGGGGACACGGCUAAUCAUGAUUAGUUUGUACACUCUACAGAGGUUUGCACACUUUUCCCCACAAGACUUGACCACAUCCAUGAUCGAAAGAUCAAGACAUAGCCUUUCUGAAGAGGUCCCCUUAACCAAUAGAUAGGCCGGUACACCUACAAUUCCCCUACAUCUGCUAGCCCAUCAUGGAAAGGUUUCCCACAACUUACUUAACUAUGCCAUAGCCCAUAAUGGCUUGUGGAUGCACACAGAAGUUUCUAGCAUGAAUAAUCUGAUGAUCCCUUUGAUCCUAGGUGGCAGUCCAUAGGAUGAUCGCAUGGGUACCCCGGGGUCUCCUAGGACAACACUAGAUUCCCCGGGUGCCUGCAACCAAUCCACCCUGAUGUGUAUUAAAAUAGCCACCUUAAGUUUCCAUUAGUUAUUAUCUCUCACAACUUGCAUGAUUCUCACAUACCAAUCCCCGUCUACGAGCAUGGCUAAGAAAUAUGAGCAUAACUUAUAUUCGCGGGUGAUCAAAGAUAUUAGGUUCCUACCUCAUCAACUACAUAGAAAUGACCACAUGUUCCCAAUCCUACUCAUGCAAUGUUUGAGGGUGAAACUAAUGCAUAUAAACUGUGUAACAAAAGGGUAUGAUCAAAGAGUAACUUGCCUUGCUGACUAUUGGAAAACCCUAUAGAUUCGUAGUAGCAAGCUUCGCACUCUAGAAAAUCUAUCAUAGACAAACAAUAGCAUACAUAAGCACUCAAGCAUGAAGAUGCAAAGAAAACCGAAGAAAAAGAUCUUAAUAGAAAGUUUAGGUCAAGAACUUCGAUUUGCAAAAAGAAUCAACCAAAUCAGAAUUACAAAACUCAAGUUACGAUCAAAAGAAGUUCAAAUUAAAAUCUGUUUGAAACCAAAUUUUAAACUUUCAAAAAUAUGUUUGAGUUGGUUAUCUGGAUAGCGGGGAUCAUAACAAAGAAUUGGUGUUGGUUUCAUUGGAUUUGGAUAAACGAGCAAAAAGUUGUGAUCAUUUGAAGAACAUGGACUAAUUUGCGAAAAAUAUAUUUACGGAUGGGUCCUUGGUCGAAAAUAAACAGAAAAAAGAAAAAUCUAUCGAACGAACAUUCGCUAAACAAAACUAUAGAACGAAAACAUUCAAUAAAACUUCCUAGACAGAAAAUGUUCGCUAAAUAGGUCUAACUAAAAAAACAUAUCGGUUUUAAACAAAAAUCGGACCAGAAAUAAACCGGGCAGUUUUCGGCGGUUCUUGUCGGUUAGUCAUCAGCGGUGGACGGCGGCUUUGGCUUAGGCCUCGGCGCAGGCGGUGGCUGUGGCGGCGGGUGCGGGCGGAGGGUGGAGUGGCGUCGGUGGCAGGUUGUAGCGGUGGGGGCUGCGGCUUUGGCUCGAGGCGGGGCGGCGCUGCUGCUGUGGCUUGGGGGAAGAGGGGGGUCGGGGCGGCGGUAUUUAAGGGGGGCACUAGCUUCGGGAAGAGUCCCGACCGGACUCGGGCGGUGGCGCGGCGUCAUGGGGGACUCAGUCUCCCCGGCGAUGUCGGUGCGGCGCGGUUGGGCCCUGAGCCGGCCCAGUCGGCGGCGGAGGUUUUUUUUUAUAUUUUUUUACAAAGACGAAAAAUAUUAAAAACAUAUGAACACUAUUUUUUAAAAUUCCAGAAAUAUUCAUAUAAUUCCCUCCUAAUAUUUUGACUAAUGUUAACAUUUUUCUGGACCUAAAUGCUUGAAAUAAAAAUAAACUUUUUAGUACUAAGAAAAAUAACUAAACACACAAAUAAAAUCGAAUAAAAAAAAUUCUUUUAUUCAAAAUUAAAUUUCCAAUAUUUCUUUGUUGUUUUUGAAGAAGUCAUAUUAUCUUCUCUCAUUAUUUUAUUUAUUUGAAAUAAUUCGAAAAAUAAUUUCGAAUAAAACACUUUGAUCCAAUUUGCCAAUUUUGAAAAUUCAAAAAUAGAUUUUUGUGAAAACCUCCAACUCUCUCAAUUGGUCCUUGAGUUGCUUAAGGUUUCUAGGAUCAAAAUUCAAAUAAUAAAUAAAUUAAAAAAUGCACAAAUGAUGAAUGGAUAUGAAUGAUCUAAAUAACAUCCAAAUUGAAAAUUGGGACGUUACACAAUUCCAGGCUGGCUAGCUGCUUUUGUUUGAUUUGGUUGUUCCAUCGAUGAAUCACAUGCACGUCCAUGCAAUUCACCCGUGUUGCCCCUUAUACUCUACAUCCAACAUUCUUCUUCUAAUUAUUAUUAUACAUCUAAAACAAAAGCAUACUCCUAGAUAGAUAAAUGGAUGGAUGAAUUUGUGGGUAAUCUUUGAUUUUCAAAGUUGAGUUAGAUUUAUGGUCUGAUGUUGAUACAACCAGGUUUGGGAUGGAAAUUUGCAAUUCCAGCAAAAUUAUGUUGUUGAUGUGAAGAACUGAUGUCACAUUUUUAUUAGGUGACAUUUGCAAUUUUAUAGAAAGUUUGUCUAGCUAUGAUGCUAUUUAACCUGUUAAUAUUGGAUUUUUAACUGUUUUCCAUUAUUUCAACUUAAUGGCAAUCCCUCCCUACCAAGCAGUGUUUUAUAUGGAGGGGAUUCUGCAUGGAGGGGGAUUUGAGGUUUCAAGGGGAUCUGAGGGGAUUGGGUGGAAGAGGGGGAUUCACCAAAUCCCCUGAAAUCCCCACCUCUCCAAACCUCCUAAAUCCACUUCUAUGAAACAAAGCCUAAGAGGGAUUGACAACCCCUCAUUUGCGUCUGGUUGCAAGUAUUUGUUCUUUGUGUUCAGGUACCUAGUGUUUCUUGGUUCUCCUACUGGAUUGAUACCUUGGUUUCAUAACUGAGGGAAAUACCUAUCGUAGCUGUGCUGCAUCAUCCCUUCCUCUUUGGGGAAAUACCGACGUAGUUCAAGCCACAUCACACCUCCUCGAUCCAGCGAGCGAUGGUGAAGUAGUAGCUCGAGUCCUCUAGCACCACGACGGCGUGGUGGUAGUGGUGGUGGUGGUGGAAUCUUAGCAGAGCUUCACUGGGUACUAUGGAGAGGAAGAGGGCUAUGAGGGAGAGGAAGGGCCGCACCGUUGCAGUACUUGGAUGCGGCUGCCCUCUCUCUACCCCUCUAUAUAUAGGGGGGAAGGCGGUUGGAGGGGGCGCCAGCGGCCACAAUGGGAAAACCUAGAUGGGUUUGGGCGCCUCCUCCACGAGGAUUGGCCCCCAAGGCAAAGGGGUGGGCAGCCCUAGGGGCGCCCCACCUCCUCUGGCUACGUGGGAUGGGGUGAGGGGGUGCGCACAACCCCUUAGUGGGCUGGCGUGCCCCCUAGCCAUGGCCCAUGAGGCCCCCUCAACACUAGUCGUGGGCCCUCGAAACCCCUUUUGGUCAUCUUGGCCAUAACCCGGUGCCCCUGGAAGAGUUCCAGACUCUGAUACCCUUCGUCCUACAUAAAAAUCUUCACCUUCAGACCAUUUCGGAGUCCCUCAUGACCUCCGGGAUCUCAUCUGGGACUCCGAACAACCUUUGGUAACCACCAUAAUUACUCAAUAUACUUAUAUCGUCACCAAACAUUAAGUGUGUAGACGAUAACCCACAAGUAUAGGUGAUCGCAACAGUUUUCAACGAUAGAGUAUUCAACCCAAAUUUAUUGAUUCGACACAAGGGGAGCCAAAGAAUAUUCUCGAGUACUAGCAUCUGAGUUGUCAAUUCAACAACACCUAAAAGACAUAAUAUCUGCAGCAAAGUAGUAUGGAAGUAACAGUAACGGUGGCAAUAGUAAUAGUAGCAGUUUUGUAGCAAUCGUAACAGUGGCAACGGAAAAGUAACAAAGAAAAGAACAAUAUGGGAAAAGCUCGUAGGCAAUGGAUCCAUGAUGGAUAAUUAUGUCGGAUGGCAUUCAUCAUGCAAAGGUUAUAACAUAGGGUGACACAGAACUAGCUCUAGUUCAUCAAUGUAAUGUAGGCAUGUAUUUCGAAUAUAGUCAUACGUGCUUAUGGAAAAGAACUUGCAUGACAUCUUUUUGCCUACCCUCCCAUGGUAGCGGGAUCCUAUUGGAUAAUUAGGGAUAUUAAGGCCUCCUUUUAAUACAUGAACUCCUCAAACUAUGGUGAUCACCGGGAGUGGUCCCGACUAUUGUCACUCCGAGAUUACCGGAUCAUAACACGUAGUAGGUGACUAUAACUUGCAAUGUCGGAUCAAGAACACAAAUAUAUUCAUGAAAACAUAAUAGGUUCAGAUCUGAAAUCAUGGCACUCGGGCCCUAGUGACAAGCAUUAGGCAUAGCAAAGUCAUAGCAACAUCAAUCUCAGAACAUAGUGGAUACUAGGGAUCAAACCCUAACAUAACUAACUCGAUUACAUGGUAAAUCUCAUCCAACCCAUCAUGGUCCAGCAAGCCUACGAUGGAAUUACUCACGAACGGCGGUGAGCAUCAUGGAAUUGGUGAUGGAGGAUGGUUGAUGUUGAUGAUGGCGAUGGAUUCCCCUCUCCGGAUCCCUGAAAGGACUCCAGAUCUGCCCUCCUGAGGAAGAACAGGGCUUGGCGGCGGCUCCGUAUCAUAAAACAUGAUGAAUCCUUCUCUCUAUUUUUUCUCCCCGAAAGAGAAUAUAUCGAGUUGGAGUUGAGGUCGGUGGAGGUCUAGGGGGCCCACAACGUUGGAGGGUGCACCCCACGGGGGUGGGCGUGUCCCCACCCUUGUGGCUAGGGUGUGGGACCCCUGUGCUGAUUCUUUUGCCAAUACUUUUUAUUAAUUCCAAAAAUAAUAUCCGUUGAUUUUCAGGUCAUUCCAAGAACUUUUUAUUCUACACAAAAAUAACACCAUGGCAAUUCUGCUCAAAACGGCGUCAUUCCGGGUUAGUUCCAUACAAAUCAUGCAAGAUCAUGGUUAAAAAUGAAUCUAUAUGCUAAGUAUAUGAAAGAUAUUGUUACAAAUAAAAGAAAGAUAUCGGAAGCUAAAAUUUCCACCAUGCUUGCUGUUGGGGAACGCAGUAAUUUCAAAAAUUUCCUAUGCACACGCAAGAUCAUGCUGAUGCAUAGCAACGAGAGGGGAAGAGUGUUGUCCACUUACCAUCGUAGACCCUAAGCAGAAGCGUUAUGACAACGCGGUUGAUGUAGUCGUAUGUCUUCUCGAUCGACCGAUCCUAGUACCGAAAGUACGACACCUCUGUGAUCUGCACACGUUCGGCUCGGUGACGUCCCACGAACUCACACUAUAAGAAAUAUGUCAACUAGUGACCUUCUGUCAGUGACCCUGGAAGAAUUGGUCAUAUAUCUACGACCAUUUGAGAACAAUUGGUCAAAAGCUGCUCGGGGGCUCCAAACCCUCAACUAUGUCGACAAUUUUGGCCAUAAAGGUCGUAAUUUCCAUAUACGAAAUGGUCAUAAAGCAAAAAGCACUAAUCCGCUGCCUUAUUUCUAGCUGAUCAUGACCAAUAUAGAUGGUCAUAACCUUGUAAGUUGUGGUGGAUUGCUAUGACUAGGCGCCACCUCAUCAGUUUUGCCUAUGUGUCAUGUCAAUGUGUCAAUUUUUGCCCUAGGUUGUGAAGCAACCUAUAUUUUUGUUAUUCCCAAAAUUCCCAAAACAAUUGGGCAGUCUUUAUUAUCCAAAUAAUUGCCUCAUGACAAUAUUCAACUCCAUUUGCCUGGUAAAUCUUCCUCGGAAAAUUUCCAAAGUUUUUGUUCAACUCGAACUAUUGUGAAGGAAGUACUAGCUCGGCAUAUCCUAAUGAGCUGGAUUUUUGCCACAUCUUCUAUAUUCCCAAAUCAUUGCUCUCCACAAAAUUUAAGCCCCAUCUAACAAUACAUGUGAGUGUGGCUUCAACAGUCAUAUUUAUGUCCAGUGUGGUAUGUUACACAGCAAGUUACACCUAGGCUCCUCCAUUUGAGCUGAAAAUUUUCCAAGAUAGUGUCCUUAGUAGAUGAUCAUCCUCGGCCAAAACUCAAGCCCAUUGUCCAUGUGCAUUUCUCGUACCACUAAUCAAACACUUGGGUGCUAAUUCAUGUUUGAGCAUUGUUCGGUCUCCUCGUGAGAUUCUUUAAUUUUUAUUUACUUCCAAGCAUCUACCUGGGGAGUGCCAAACCUAUUAGACAUGCCUAGGCUUCCCAGAACGCAUGGCAACGCCACGGUCUCGUGGUGACCACGCGGCGGGCAUGCGAGUCUACGCGCUUUGGAGUUGGGGCCCUGGGCCACCGUCCAAACCUCAAUGUAUCACUACCAAACCAUGUAUUUAUGCUUAAAUAGAUACUUACGUACCUAGAAAUGAUUUUUGGAAAAAAUAAAUAGCAAACUAUGAGGCAGCUACAAUUCAAAAUUGACCCGCUUCCUACUGAAUCGGCGGAAAUUUGUCUUUUUCACCAGAGAUGGAUCAAAGCUUCUGACACCCAACCAUUUUGUCAAUUGUGCAUUAAAUAUGGCCUAGUAUUUUAGAAAAUUGAUUUGGUCCAAUUUUGCAACAAAUAUAUAGUAGGUCCUUAACAAAAAAACUCAUUUCAGGCACUCGGAAAAUGGAAAAUGAAUUUUCCAUGCAAAGAAAAUGAAAACUCCCUUAGGCAACAUUGUUUGGAAUCCCAAGAUGCACCCUUGUGCACAAUAUGAGAUCAUUUGAAAAAACUAUGCCAUGAAUGUGGCCAUAAGAUAGAUCAUUUGGCUUGAAAGCCAUGAAUCUUCAUGCAUGAUAGCUCAUUUCUGAUAACACUUUUUUAAAUAAUUAUCAUAUUACAAGUUUAUUAUUUUUCCUGGAAACUUGGUCACAUAUGAUGACACAAUGCGAAGGUUUUCCAAUUAUUUGAUUUUUUUAAUUUUUUAUGCCCAUUUCAAAAUGCGGUCAAAACGGCGGGCUUGACCGUUCGUAGAUAAUUGUUGAAUCUUGGAAAAUUUUGAUGUUUCUCUGAUUAAAUAGAUACUUAUGUACCUAGAAAUGAUUUUUGGAAAAAAAUAAAUAGCAAACUAUGAGGCAGCUACAGUUCAAAUUUGACCUGCUUCCUAUUGAAUCGGCGGAAAUUUGUCUUUUUCACCAGAGAUGGAUCAAAGCUUUUGACACCCAACCAUUUUAUCAAUUGUGCAUUAAAUAUGGCCUAGUAUUUUAGAAAAUUUAUUUGGUCCAAUUUUGCAACAAAUAUAUGGUAGGUCCUUCACAAAAAAACUCAUUUCAGGCACUCGUAAAAUGGAAAAUGAAUUUUCCGUGCAAAGAAAAUGAAAACUCCCUUAGGCAACAUUUUUUGGAAUUCCAAGAUGCACCCUUGUGCACAAUAUGAGAUCAUUUGAACAAACUAUGCCAUGAAUGUGGCCAUAAGAUUGAUCAUUUGGCUUGAAAGCCAUGAAUCUUCACGCAUGAUACCUCGUUUCUGAUAACACUUUUUAAAAUAAUUUUCGUAUUACAAGUUUAUUAUUUUUCCUGGAACCUCGGUCACAUAUGAUGACACAAUGCGAAGGUUUUCCAAUUUUUUAGUUUUUUUUGAAUUUUUUAUGCCCGUUUCAAAAUGCGGUCAAAACGGCGGGCUUGACCGUUCCUAGCUAAUGGUUGAAUCUUGGAAUUUUUUUGAUGUUUCUAUGAUUAAAUAGAUACUUAUGUACCUAGAAAUGAGUUUGUAAAAAAUAGAUAGCAAACUAUGAGGCAGCUACAGUUCAAAUUUGACCCGAUUCCUAUUGAAUUGGCGGAAAUUUGUCUUUUUCACUAGAGAUGGAUCAAUGCUUUUGACACCAAACCAUUUUGUCAAUUUUGCAUUAAAUAUGGCCUAGUAUUUUAGAAAAUUGAUUUGGUCCAAUUUUGCAACAAAUAUAUGGUAGGUCCUUCACAAAAAAGCUCAUUUCGGGCACUCAGAAAAUGGAAAAUGAAUUUUCCGUGCAAAGAGAAUGAAAACUCCCUUAGGCAACAUUGUUUGGAAUUCCAAGAUGCAACCUUGUGCGCAAUAUCACAUCAUUUGAACAAACUAUGACAUGAAUGUGGCCAUAAGAUUGAUCAUUUGGCUUGAAAGCCAUGAAUCUUCACGCAUGAUAGCUCAUUCCUGAGACACUUUUUAAAAAUAAUUGUUGUAUUACAAGUGUAUUAUUUUUCCUGAAAACUUGGUCACAUAUGAUGACUCAAUGCGAAGGUUUUCCAAUUUUUUGAUUUUUUUGAAUUUUUUAUGCCCGUUUCAAAAUGCGCUCAAAACGGCGGGCUUGACCGUUCCUAGCUAAUGGUUGAAUCUUGGAAUUUUUUUGAUGUUUCUCUGAUUAAGUAGAUACUUAUGUACCUAGAAAUUAUUUUUGGAAAAAAUAAAUAGCAAACUAUGAGGUAGCUACAGUUCAAAUUUGACCCGCUUCGUACUAAAUCGGCGGAAAUUUGUCUUUUUCAUGAGAGGUGGAUCGAAACUUUUAACACCCAACCAUUUGGUCAAUUGUGCAAUAUAUAUGGCCUAUAAUUUUAUAAAAAUUAUUUGGUCCAAAUUUGCAACAAAUAUUUGCUAGGUCCUUCAUAAAAAACCCUCAUUUUGGACACUCAAAAAUUAGGAAAAUGGAUUUUUUGUGCAAAGUAAAUGAAAGCUCUAUUUGGCAAUAUUGUUUGUCAGUCCAAUAUGCACACUUAUGCAAAAUACGAGAUCAUUUUCACAAGCUAUGCCUUUGUUAUGUUUAGAAAAAUCAGAGUGGAUUGGAUGGACCAAUGAGAUGUGAGAAACCGCCUUCACGCAGAUCACCAAAUUGGACUCAAUCUGAGCCAUCCAUGGCGCACCCAUCCAACUACAGAGGUUCUCCCGAGAAAAAACCCUAAGUCACCACCCAACCACUGACCCACUCUCUCCCCCUCCCCUCGACCCCCCAUAUCCCACCUCCUCCUCGCUCUCUCUCGAUCCCCUGCAGUUCUAGCCGCCGCCGUCGCUCGCCUCCAUCCUCUCCCCAACCCCGGUCGGCCUCCACUCCACUCCACCACCGGCGCCAACCCAACCACCACUGCCCUCUCCGCCUCCUCUCCCAACACCCAAGAACGAGAGUGGGGGAGAGAGCCGACAGCCAGAUCCACUCACCAAGUCCCUCUCCAUCGCCGCCAUCUAGAUCUAGGCCGGACAAUUCCGGCAGUGUGCAGCACACUCAUGUGCUCACCUCGCGCCUCGCUCGAUCCUGUAGUCCUCCUCCGUCUCCUCACCUAACAACUAAUCUCCGCCUCGGUUGGAUCUCGGUCGUGUGGUUGGUGCAGGAUCCGCGUCGGCUGGUGGUGACGGAAACAUGUGGCGCACCGGGUGGACAACGACUCCGGCGUCCGGUGUCGGCAAGUCCAACGUCCUCUCCAGCUUCACCCGCAACGCAUUCUACCUCGAGUCCAAGUCCACCAUCGGUGUCGAGUUCGCUAGCUGGACCCUCCUCGUGAGUACUCACCACCAUUGACAGGUCGGCAUCCAGGUCGAGCACAGCAUCCAGGUUCGUCAUACCCCAUCUCCCGCCUCUCGCCCCUUCUCAUGUCAACUCAUAUGCGGUUGCUCGAAUGUGUUGAUUGGUUGGAGAAGGUUUCCCGUCGUGGAUCUUCUCUGGUUUGGAAUAUUUAGUCUGUAAUUUAUGCGUGAUUUGAGCUGUGAUGGGAUUACUCGGUUACCUUUCCGUGUAGGUCUAGUUGUUUUCAAGCGAGGAUGCGGCAAUUAGUGUUCGAUCCGCGCGACCCUUCUGAAUUGGUUAGGAACAUCAACUAUUCGUAGUCCCUAAUUUAAGCCUCCGACCUGUGAUGUUUAGUCAUUUCAUUUUGUAUUUUAGAUCUGAUAUGCAAUUGGAAUCCUAGGAUCGUACUUUUCAGGAGAAAUGAAUACAACUUCUGCACUAGUUUAGUUGCCACUUUUGUGUGAAAUCUCAGAUCUACUUAGGCCAUUAUCAUGCUUUCCAUUGCCAGUUUUGAUGUGUUCUGAAAUUAUUAUCUGCAUCCAACUAAACACCUCAUUGUUCCCUGUUGUAGCCUAAUGGCCAGACGAACUAUGUUUUGGCAUAGUUUUGUUCACGUGUAUAAUAAGCAUCCUGAAUGCUCAUUUAGCAAUGUAUUAAUAACACUUCUAGUUUUGUUCACGUGUAUUCAGAUUAAUACACUGUGUUAUUAAACUACACAAUGCUCAUCGUGUUGGCUACUUCUUGAUGUUCUCCGCAUAACUAUAGGCUGCCAUGUCUUUUCCACUUUCCUUUUCUCUUUCUGUAAUGCUAACUUGAAGGUAACCCUAUAGUUUGUUGGCUGUUGCAACCCAGCAGUGGCGCUUUCAUUUUAACACAUGUACUAGUGUGCUAAAACUUGCAAAAGACACAAAUCUUGAGCUUUCUUUAUCGGCUUGUUGCUACUACUCCUUGUGUACAAUGAUUGAUGUUACUCUAGUUAGUGUUGUAGACGAAGAAAGAGGAUGUAUUUAUAUUACUUUCUUCUGUUGCUUAUAUAUAGACAUGUAUGUAUGUUUACUUCAUUUCUUCUUUGUGUCUCCAAUCCCCUCCUAAUGAAUAUUUUUUUUCGAUUUGGAUUAGCAGGCUCGUCCAUGCACCAGAUGUUCAAGUACAGCCCCAUCCACCGCAUCGACCUGGAGUCAGGUAUGUACUCGUCUUGUUGAACAAAUGGGACAGAUGCUUCAUGGCCUAAUGCUUGAUGCUUGAUGCAUGUAUCAUAUUUGUCCAUUGGUAAAUAUGUAAAUCAUGGCUGGCCUGAUGCUUCAUGGCCUCAUGUUUGCUUCAGUGGUAGCACAUUCAGAUGUAUUAAUUAAUUUUAUACAUGUUCGCGAAUUUGGACGACGAUAACAAACUGUAAUCACAAAUACUUGUCUAAAAACUUGAACAACCAUCUUGUUUAAUUUGGUGAUGUUCCUCCAUGCUAAGAGCUAAUCUUCUGCACUAUUAUUUAGUUUUCAUCACCGGUUUUGAUUUCGCUGAAAUUAUAUUUUGUUUUGCAUCCUUAUAGUCUAUUAGUUCUCAUUCUAGCUCUAAAUGUUGUUUGUGGCAUCACCAUCAAGUAUGCCAUCAAAGUAAUUCACCACUCCACCAUCAACUAUGCUUUGCUCUACAUGCUCUCCUUAGUUUUGCUCUUUGCUGGAAAGCACAAAGAAAAUUGAAGCUAUAUAGAUGAUUUGAUCUGAAGAGGGUCAAAGAGAAAAUGCCCACAUGUUUACUGCCUUAUUAUGUUCUGCUUGAGUUGACAUUAUUUAUGUCCAAUCCUAGGUUUAUACUCUUUGCUUGUCGUCAUCACUCAUCAGUUGGGCUGUUUACUUAAUGUAUUUGUUGUCCGAUUUGCUCCAUCAUAUUUCCUGAUGUACUUCUACAUAUAUAUGUUGGUUGUAAUCUGCUUGAACGAUCCAAGUACUUGAUAUUCCAUUAUGUUCUUGUAGGUGAAUGGAGCUUGUGUUGUUGGUAGAACUUCGUUGAUGACUUCUUCCUAUGUUGAAGAGCAUGUUCCGUGGUAUCCAAUAGUAGAUAGAUUUACACUGGUAGAGUGUUUUAUUUGUCGAUCACAAUGUUUGUGAUUGUGUGGAAUAUUGUAUGGUUAUCUACGUGAAGUUUGAAGUUCCUGGGCAUGCAAUAUUUGAUGGUUAAACUGGUUGUUGUGAUGUGAACCAGUGUAUGGAGUUUCAC